GAUGAAGAACGUAGCGAAAUGCGAUAAGUAAUGUGAAUUGCAGAAUUCAGUGAAUCAUCGAAUCUUUGAACGCACCUUGCACCCUUUGGCUAUUCCGAAGGGUAUGCCUGUUUGAGUAUCAUGAACACCUCAACUCUCAUGGUUUGCCAUGAUGAGCUUGGACUUUGGGGGUCUUGCUGGCCUGUGGUCAGCUCCUCUCAAAUGGAUUAGCUUGCCAGUGUUUGGUGGCAUCACAGGUGUGAUAACUAUCUACGCUUGUGGUUUUCCACCAGGUAACCUUCAGCAAUGGGGGUUCGCUGGGGCUCAUAAAUGUCUCUCCUCAGUGAGGACAGCUCUUUGAACGUUUGAUCUCAAAUCAGUUAGGACUACCCGCUGAACUUAAGCAUAUCAAUAAGCGGAGGA
rnacentral:misc_RNA from 1 species